rnacentral:lncRNA from 1 species
GGCGAUGCUUCUCUCUACUCCGUUGACAGAAACUUGCCGUCUGUCUUGUCGUCAACAAGUAAAAUUCGAUCUCCACCUGCAAAAACCUAGAUUUUCUACAUCUUUUCGCUUCAUUUAUUACUUGUUCCUUCUUAGUUAUGGAAAUCCCAAUUAACAUGUUUCUCAUUAGGUUAAUUGUUCACUCUACAAUUUCGAAACAUAACAAUCAGAAUUUGAAAAUUGAUCGUGUCACAUCUGUUCCUACAUUGUUUCCUGGUUGUAAGCACAUUAAACAAACUAGUCGAUGGAUGAUCAAUUGGACAAUUUUGUACUUUUUCCCCAUCCAAAAAAGGAAAACAAAUAUACAAGAAUCCAUUUCUUUGCUUGAUUACGUUUCACUUCUCUUUAAUGUUCUUAUUUACUUGAUCUGAAGUAAAACGAAAGAGCCAUGUUAUGCUGAAGCAGACAAAUAGCCCUUGAUUCCAUCUACUUAUCGGAAUCAGGUCAAGAACUUUACCCAAUUGGCUGUUUUUACGCUAAUUGUGAUGUUUCAUUCUUCUUGAUCUUUCCCUUUUCGAUCUGGUAAAUCCUCUCAGCAUCAGGUACAGCUUUGAUUAUGGUUUCCAGCUUUAGAUUUAGUUCUUCAAUCUUCUCUACAAGUCUAUCAUUUGUGAACAUUCCAAUCAUUACAUUUUGAAUUGUUCUCCAGCUUUCCGCCAAUGGUAGAACUAUGAUCACAGCUGACCCAAUUGUACCCCAUGCUAUCGCCACAAUUGCCCAGAAAGUGAAAUAUCCUUUGCUGAAGUCCUCUACAAAAAGUAACAAAUAUAUGUCAAAAAGAGCUUCUAAUGAAAA